rnacentral:rRNA from 1 species
GAUGAACGCUGGCGGCGUGCCUAAUACAUGCAAGUCGAGCGAACAGACGAGGAGCUUGCUCCUUUGACGUUAGCGGCGGACGGGUGAGUAACACGUGGGUAACCUACCUAUAAGACUGGGAUAACUUCGGGAAACCGGAGCUAAUACCGGAUAAUAUUUCGAACCGCAUGGUUCGAUAGUGAAAGAUGGCUCUGCUAUCACUUAUAGAUGGACCUGCGCCGUAUUAGCUAGUUGGUAAGGUAACGGCUUACCAAGGCAACGAUACGUAGCCGACCUGAGAGGGUGAUCGGCCACACUGGAACUGAGACACGGUCCAGACUCCUACGGGAGGCAGCAGUAGGGAAUCUUCCGCAAUGGGCGAAAGCCUGACGGAGCAACGCCGCGUGAGUGAUGAAGGUCUUCGGAUCGUACAACUCUGUUAUUAGGGAAGAACAAACGUGUAAGUAACUGUGCACGUCUUGACGGUACCUAAUCAGAAAGCCACGGCUAACUACGUGCCAGCAGCCGCGGUAAAAC